CAGCCGCCGCGGGAAUACAGAGGGUGCGAGCGUUAAUCGGAUUUACUGGGCGUAAAGCGUGCGUAGGCGGCUUCUUAAGUCGGAUGUGAAAUCCCUGAGCUUAACUUAGGAAUUGCAUUCGAUACUGGGAAGCUAGAGUAUGGGAGAGGAUGGUAGAAUUCCAGGUGUAGCGGUGAAAUGCGUAGAGAUCGGGAGGAACAUCAGUGGCGAAGGCGGCCAUCUGGGACAACACUGACGCUGAGGCACGAAAGCGUGGGGAGCAAACAGGAUUAGAUACCCGGGUAGUCCCUGUCUCUUAUAC
rnacentral:rRNA from 1 species